rnacentral:rRNA from 1 species
GCUCCUACGGGACGCAGCAGUGGGGAAUAUUGCACAAUGGGGGAAACCUUGAUGCAGCGACGCCGCGUGAAGGAAGAAGUAUUUCGGUAUGUAAACUUCUAUCAGCAGGGAAGAAAGUGACGGUACCUGACUAAGAAGCCCCGGCUAACUACGUGCCAGUAGCCGCGGUAAUACGUAGGGGGCAAGCGUUAUCCGGAUUUACUGGGUGUAAAGGGAGCGUAGGCGGCGAUGCAAGUCAGAAGUGAAAGCCCGGGGCUCAACUCCGGGACUGCGUUUGAAACUGUAUGGCUAGAUUGCAGGAGAGG